UAAUGAUCCCAAGGUCACACUCUUGGGGGUGAACCUUUGCCGGGUUCUGACCCCUCUGAGGCAUCCAGGAGACGAGAGAGAGGUGCCCGAGCUCUGGAAGAAAGGUUGGCUGCCAAGAUGUUGGCGACUUCACACAGUGCUGGAGAGUCACGAACUGAUGCUGCUGAGAAUGUAUGAUUCCGAUUUCUUUAGAUUAUGCAGAUUGUUGGUGUUGUAGAAAACUCGUGGAAGAAUUUGAUGUGGCCACCUCACGGCCACAUGGGAGGUAUUGUUGACCAGGAAGAAGCUUUCAAAAUUGAGAUCGGGCCCGUGGAACUUCGAAAUAAAUGUUACUAAUUUGCAUUUUAAUCCAAUUCUUUUCUUUUUUUGGGUCUUUUCAAAAUGUAGUUUAUGAUGUUCACAUUUGAACCUCACAUAAGUAAUG